UUCCCUCGUAGCCCAAUUGGCAGGAGGCACCGGAUUCAGGAUCCGGACAGUGUGAGUUCGAAUCUCACCGAGGGAACCCA
rnacentral:tRNA from 1 species